GUCCACGCCGUAAACGGUGGGUACUAGGUGUGGGUUUCCUUCCUUUAGGGAUCCGUGCCGUAGCUAACGCAUUAAGUACCCCGCCUGGGGAGUACGGCCGCAAGGCUAAAAACUCAAAGAAAUUGACGGGGGCCCGCACAAGCGGCGGAGCAUGUGGAUUAAUUCGAUGCAACGCGAAGAACCUUACCUGGGUUUGACAUGCACAGGACGCCGGCAGAGAUGUCGGUUCCCUUGUGGCCUGUGUGCAGGUGGUGCAUGGCUGUCGU
rnacentral:rRNA from 1 species